AUUCUGGCUCAGGACGAACGCGGGCGGCGUGCUUAAUGAAUGCGAGUCGAACGAGAACCAUAUGAGUGCUUGCACAAGUCUGGGGAAAGUGGCGAACGGGUGAGUAACACGUGGGUAACCUGCCCUGUAGUCGGGCACAACAGUUGGAAACGACUGCUAAUUCCCGAUAGUCUGUGGUCGCACAGGUGAUCAUAGUAAAGGUUUUUCCGCUACAGGAUGGGCCCGCGGGCCAUUAGCUUGUUGGUGGGGUAACGGCCUACCAAGGCGACGAUGGCUAGCCGGUCUGAGAGGAUGAUCGGCCACACUGGGACUGAGACAUGGUCCAGACUCCUCCGGGAGUUAGCAUCAGGGAAUCUUGCGCAAUGGGCGAAAGCCUGACGCAGCGACGCCGCGUGAGGGAUGAAGGUCUGCGGAUCGUAAACCUCUGUAAGCAGGGACGAAUGCCCGGGUCGCCCGGGAGUGACGGUACCUGCAAAGUAAGCUCCGGCUAACUACGUGCCAGCAGCCGCGGUAAUACGUAGGGAGCCAGCGUUGUCCGGAUUUACUGGGCGUAAAGAGCGCGUAGGCGGUUUAGUAAGCGGAGGGUGAAAUCCCGGGGCUCAACUCCGGGGCUGCUUUCCGAACUGCUAGACUAGAGUACGGGAGAGGAUAGUGGAAUUCCUGGUGUAGCGGUGGAAUGCGUAAAUAUCAGGAGGAACACCCGUGGCGAAGGCUGCUAUCUGGAACGUUACUGACGCUGAGGCGCGAAAGCUAGGGGAGCGAACGGGAUUAGAUACCCCGGUAGUCCUAGCCGUAAACGAUGGACACUAGGUGUUGGAGGCAUCGACCCCUUCAGUGCUGUUCUGCUAACGCGUUAAGUGUCCCGCCUGGGGAGUACGGCCGCAGG
rnacentral:rRNA from 1 species